rnacentral:misc_RNA from 1 species
GUUGAAUACCUUGCAAUAACAAUGACUUGUGCUCAAAAAGAGUCAAACAACAAGUGAUAUAACCAAAUGCAAGGUUGGAAGAAGAAAAAAAAGAUAUAGACAGGGAGAACUAGAUACAUAGCACUGAUAUAUUUUUAAAUUAUAGAGAGAGAGAGAGAGGUUGUAGGGGAUAUAAAGGGGAAAUUUUUUCUGAGGCGUUACAUGGCCAGUUGCCCAAGCAUCAUUGUAGAAAUGGCUUGAUUGGUUGCAAAUCAUAAGUUAAGGGAAAAACUCAUCGGAAACUCAGAGACUUGGCUUCAAAGUGAAUGUGUAAAAUGAAGCAUGACUAAUAGAAUCAUGGAUGUUUUUAUAUCUAUAGUAAAAUUAAUAACAUUCUAUUUAACUGACAGAAAAUCUCAUCAAAAUUCUAUUCAAUGCAAACCAAUACUUUGAGCAAAUCUUAUCAAAGCUAAAAAAGCUAUCCUUUGUAAAAGAGAAAAAUCUCAUUAAUAAAAUCAAAGAAGAAAUAAACUAUAUACUUCAACAAAUUUUCCCACUAACAUGAAAAAAUAAUCAUCAGAUUGCAACUAGACCCUGGAAGAAAAAACUUAAGAUAAAACAAACAGAUGAUACAUACCCCGUUCUCUGUUCUAGGAUUGCCGGAAAGUGCAUCUUCACAAAAGUG